AGAGCGAACGCUGGCGGCAGGCCUAACACAUGCAAGCCGAGCGCCCGUAGCAAUACGGGAGCGGCAGACGGGAUAGUAACACGUGGGAACGCGCCCUUCGGUUCGGAAUAACUCAGGGAAACUUGAGCUAAUACCGGAUACGCCCUUACGGGGAAAGAUUUAUUGCCGAAGGAACGGCCCGCGUCCGAUUAGCUAGUUGGUGAGGUAAUGGCUCACCAAGGCGACGAUCGGUAGCUGGUCUGAGAGGAUGACCAGCAUCACUGGGACUGAGACACGGCCCAGACUCCUACGGGAGGCAGCAGUGGGGAAUAUUGGACAAUGGGCGCAAGCCUGAUCCAGCCAUGCCGCGUGGAUGAUGAGGCCUUAGGGUUGUAAAGUCCUUUUAACGGGGAAGAUAAUGACGGUACCGUAGAAUAAGCCCGGCUACUUCGUGCCAGCAGCCGC
rnacentral:rRNA from 1 species